rnacentral:lncRNA from 1 species
UAGUAGGUAAGUGGAGUCGAGCUCGGAUCCGACUCGAGCUCAAGCAACCUGUUUGCGCCCCUAAUCCAUUCGGAGACAAACUUAUGAAUAGACUCGAGAUGCAGUUGUCUCUUUGAAGAACAAUUUAACAAUAUUGAAGGCACGCACCAUCUUGGAAAGGCGAUCCACAAGAACAAAAACAGGAUCCAAUCCCUCUGUGUUCUUCUGGCAAUUCCAAGAACACAAUCUACAUCAUGCUUCAUCUUGGACCAAGAGUAGCCACUGUAGACCAAAGCAAAUAUUUAGUCCUUGCCGAAGUGAUCUUGUCCAUGGAGCCCCUCAAUGUUCUUCUCCCUCAAUGAGCAGUCUGGAAUGCAAAGCUGGACUCCUCUAAAUAUAUGACCAUCUUUUACUUUGUAGUCAAGGCCUCUUGCAAGACUACACUUCAGCCAUCAAGCUCUUUAAACACUGGUCAUCUGCAUACGGAUCUCUGAAAGAGUCCAAACCAAUCGCUCGGACCUUCAUGACAGUAAGCAGUCAUGCCCUCCUACUAGAAGCAUCAACUACCCAAUUCAAAGAUCCUAACCUAUGCUUUGGAGGUGGUGCUCCUGCAGACAGAAAAUUCACCUAACUCACACACCAAUUACCCAGCAUAUCCUUCCCUUGAACAUUCCUCAAAGUCUCCUGAUCGAUGAGUAGAAUAAACACUUAAUGUCAAAGCCUCUAAUGCCAGAGAGCUUGAACAACCACAUAAAAUUAAGCAUCAUGAGUAGGUGAAUAUAGCUUCUCAAUGAAGAAUGUUAUGUGCCUUCCUUCUUGACUGAGAAUAUAUAGGUCGAACUUCCCUUGAAGAUGCAUCACACUCCACCACAAAACUUCAUUGAAAUUAGGAAGAGCUAAAGACUGGUGUGGCUCAAUUCUCUUGAUUUUGAUUUUGUCCAAGCUCGCCGGCCCUUUGGUGUCCAUUGGAAAGACUUUCCCUUCGAACAAUCAAUGGUUGGUGCCAUCAAACUGCGAAAUCCUCGAAACUAUGGUGCCA